GACGAACCUGACGAACGUUAUUCGGAAUCACUGGGCUUAAAGGGUGCGUAGGCUGUGCAGAAAGUUGGGUGUGAAAUCCCUCGGCUUAACCGAGGAACUGCGCCCAAAACUACUGUGCUUGAGUGAGAUAGAGGUGAGCGGAACUUAGGGUGGAGCGGUGAAAUGCGUUGAUAUCCUAAGGAACACCGGUGGCGAAAGCGGCUCACUGGGUCUCAACUGACGCUGAUGCACGAAAGCUAGGGUAGCGAAC
rnacentral:rRNA from 1 species